GUGCCAGCAGCCGCGGUAAUACGGAGGAUCCAAGCGUUAUCCGGAAUCAUUGGGUUUAAAGGGUCCGUAGGCGGACUAUUAAGUCAGGGGUGAAAGUCUGCAGCUCAACUGUAGAAUUGCCUUUGAUACUGGUAGUCUUGAGUUAUGGUGAAGUGGCUAGAAUAUGUAGUGUAGCGGUGAAAUGCAUAGAUAUUACAUAGAAUACCGAUUGCGAAGGCAGGUCACUAACCAUACACUGACGCUGAUGGACGAAAGCGUGGGGAGCGAACAGGAUUAGAUACCCUGGUAGUCCACGCCGUAAACGAUGGAUACUAGCUGUUCGGACUUCGGUCUGAGCGGCCAAGCGAAAGUGAUAAGUAUCCCACCUGGGGAGUACGUUCGCAAGAAUGAAACUCAAAGGAAUUGACGG
rnacentral:rRNA from 1 species